rnacentral:rRNA from 1 species
AACGAACGCUGGCGGCAUGCCUAACACAUGCAAGUCGAACGAAGCCUUCGGGCUUAGUGGCGCACGGGUGCGUAACGCGUGGGAAUCUGCCCUUUGGUUCGGAAUAACAGUUGGAAACGACUGCUAAUACCGGAUGAUGACGAAAGUCCAAAGAUUUAUCGCCAGAGGAUGAGCCCGCGUAGGAUUAGCUAGUUGGUGUGGUAAAGGCGCACCAAGGCGACGAUCCUUAGCUGGUCUGAGAGGAUGAUCAGCCACACUGGGACUGAGACACGGCCCAGGCUCCUACGGGAGGCAGCAGUGGGGAAUAUUGGACAAUGGGCGAAAGCCUGAUCCAGCAAUGCCGCGUGAGUGAUGAAGGCCCUAGGGUUGUAAAGCUCUUUUACCCGGGAUGAUAAUGACAGUACCGGGAGAAUAAGCCCCGGCUAGCUCCGUGCCAGCCGCCGCCGUAA